UCUGUCUUAGUGGCGGACGGGUGAGUAACGCGUGGGCAACCUGCCCUGUACCGGGGGAUAACACUUAGAAAUAGGUGCUAAUACCGCAUAAUAGGGAAUACCGCAUGGUAAUCCUUUGAAAACUCCGGUGGUACAGGAUGGGCCCGUGUCUGAUUAGCCAGUUGGCGGGGUAACGGCCCACCAAAGCGACGAUCAGCAGCCGGCCUGAGAGGGUGGACGGCCACACUGGGACUGAGACACGGCCCAGACUCCUACGGAAGGCAGCAG
rnacentral:rRNA from 1 species